CAGGUCACAAAGGGAAAACUAGACUUGCAAGUUGAAUGGAUAUUGAAAGCUGGACAUGACAGUAGAGAACCAGCCACUUAUUUCUACAGGCACAGCCUUAAGCUACUGACUUUCACGACUGGCUUACAUGACAUGAAGGGCCCUUCUACACGUGUGCAUAGAAACUGCUGAAGCUGUGAAGUCUGCUGGGUGCCUACAAUAUAGCCAUGACGAUAUCAAGCUAAAUAUUUUGAGAUGAGAAGACAGAAUUGGCCCCUCCUGGUUUCUGAUAAAUUCAGUCUUGGAUGACUAUGCCUACCUCUGCCAGCUGGUGGAUUAAAGCUGAAGUGAACUAGGAAUGAGA